UGCCCAGCAAUUCUUAUCUUUACCUCCUUGUGGUAUUGGACGUUGUACGAGCAACCGUAGUGAAGAUCGGGUAACCAAUCUCGGUGGGAACUCUGGUCGUAUGCUGACAGGGCAGG
rnacentral:ribozyme from 1 species